UUUUCUACAAAUUGGAAUGAUUUGAAAUUUGGAGUGUGUGUUCAUCAAAAAUAGGAGAAUCUAAUAAAAAUAUAAAAAAAAUAAUUUACAAAAUAUAAAUUGAUCAAAAUACCCUUGAAAAUUUACGGGGGUAUUUUGGUCAAUUUAUAUUUUACGAAAUAUUUUUUUCAUAUUAUUAUUAGGUGCGCCUCAUUAAGAUGUACACACGCUCCAAAUUUCAGAUAAUUCCGAUUUAUAGAAAA
rnacentral:pre_miRNA from 1 species